UACGGAGGAUCCGAGCGUUAUCCGGAUUUAUUGGGUUUAAAGGGUGCGUAGGCGGCCUUGUAAGUCAGGGGUGAAAGACGGCAGCUCAACUGUCGCAGUGCCUUUGAUACUGCAGGGCUUGAAUACACUUGAAGUAGGCGGAAUGUGACAAGUAGCGGUGAAAUGCAUAGAUAUGUCACAGAACACCGAUUGCGAAGGCAGCUUACUAAAGUGUGAUUGACGCUGAGGCACGAAAGCGUGGGGAUCAAACAGG
rnacentral:rRNA from 1 species